AGCCGCCGCGGUAAUACCCGCGCCCCGAGUGGUGGUCGAUAUUAUUGAGCCUAAAACGUCCGUAGCCGGUCUUUAAAUCCUUGGGUAAAUCGGGUAGCUUAACUAUCCGAAUUCCGGGGAGACUGAAAGACUUGGGACCGGGAGAGGUCAGAGGUACUUCUGGGGUAGGGGGUAAAAUCCUGUAAUCCUGGAAGGACCCACCGGUGGCGAAGGCGUCUGACUAGAACGGAUCCGACGGUGAGGGACGAAGCCCUGGGGCGCAAACGGGAUUAGAUACCCCGGUAGUCCAGGGUGUAAACGCUGCGGGCUUGGUGUUGGGGGUCCUUUGUGGGCGCCCAGUGCCGGAGAGAAGUUGUUAAGCCUGCUGCUUGGGGAGUAUGUCCGCAAGGAUGAAACUUAAAGGAAUUGGCGGGGGAGCACCGCAACGGGGAAGGGGCGUGCGGUUCAAUUGGAUUCAACGACCGAAAACUCACCAGGAGCGACGGAUAUAUGAAGGUCAAGCUGAUGACUUUACCUGAUUUUCCGAGUGGAGGUGCAUGG
rnacentral:rRNA from 1 species